UUUCGAAGCUCUUAUCGGAUUCUAUUUUUAAUCUGUUUUUCACCGCUCUCACCGCUUGCGACUUAGUAUAAAAGUGAUUGUCAUCCUUCAAUUCCCUCAAAUUUGGUUCUCUGCUUGUCAAUCUCUACAUAGCGUGGCUGGAGACCUUGACAAUGGCCAUGCGGCCUCCAAUGAUGCUGUCACGCUCAAAGAAUCGGAUAGAGAGGGGAUUGACCAUAGAGAAUAACGAAUAAAAAUGGAAUCAAAUACUUCACUUCGUAUAUGGAGGACGAGAUGGGUGGAGAGGCAGACGAUGAGCCUCCUAACUCGGCUAGAGAGCUUGAGCCCGUGUGAUGGCCAACAGUGCAGUUUGUGGAAGCUGGAGGUUUGGGAUAGCAGAAGAGGAGCAGGGAAACGAUCUGGACCCUCCAUUCUUGCAAUGGGAACGUACUGGACCCUUGCAUAGAGAGUUUUUACCUUCUGUGUGUCUUUGACUCUGCGAAGGUGGUGUUAGACUAAAAAUAAUUUUAUAAUGCGGAAUAACACUUUAGAAACAAGAAUUGAUAGGUUUUAAUGUCAAGAAUAAUACCUCCAGCCAUUGAUGCUAUUCACUAUUUUUGUUGCGUUUCUCA